rnacentral:lncRNA from 1 species
UAACUUGCAGUUAUCCGAUCUGUUUGAAAGAAUUCUUUUGAUUAACUUUGGAAAAUCGGUUUGUUUGGAAAAGUAAUUGAUUAAGGAAAAGGUUUUCGCUAAAUCAGUUUUUUAGCGACUUAGUUAGGGAUUUAACUAGGUUCGCAAAGAAACACGUUAACAAGUAAACGAAAGGAAAAGGGGAAAAAGCGGGGAAGUAGUGAUUUAGGCUUUUAAGCCCAAACCGUCGACCCUGCUCUAAUCUAGUUGGGUUUUCGACCCAUUUUCACCUGUCCUAAUUUUAUGUUUUUGAGCCUUUAGCUCGAGUCUCGCUUCACCUGUAUUAAGUACAACUUUGGAUUCGAGGCCCAAAUGAAUAAAUAAGAAAAUAAAUAAAUAAAUAAAUAAAUAAAUAAAUAAAUAAAUAAAGACGACAAUAAGUAAAUAGACAAAAUAACAAAUGAGACUUUUGGGUCUCGUAGCUGCUUCAAAUGAUAGGACUUUAAUCAAUUUUCUUCUUCCGACUCCUUAUAUCUAAUGCCAUGCAAUGGAUACUUGGAUUUUCUUUCAUGGCUUGACUUAAGAUAUAGGCCUCAUUGGCCCAUGAUAGAUAUGCGAAAGGAAAGAAGGAGAGUACCCAC